rnacentral:piRNA from 1 species
UGCAACAGCGAAUGUGAGGGCGGCUCCCUA